UACGUAGGGUGCAAGCGUUAUCCGGAAUUAUUGGGCGUAAAGAGCUCGUAGGCGGUUUGUCGCGUCUGCUGUGAAAACCGGAGGCUCAACCUCCGGCCUGCAGUGGGUACGGGCAAACUAGAGUGCGGUAGGGGAGAUUGGAAUCCUGGUGUAGCGGUGGAAUGCGCAGAGUAUCAGGAGGAACACCGAUGGCGAAGGCAGAUCUCUGGGCCGGUAACUGACGCUGAGGAGCGAAAGCGUGGGGAGCGAACAGG
rnacentral:rRNA from 1 species